UGAAAUGAGAGAGUUUAAGAGAUUGAGAGUUGGUGCCAGCUGGACCCCUUUGGCACCAACAACGGAAGUCCUGCAGUGGCCCCGGCUGCAGUGUGGGAUUUUGGAGCCUUAUAAAUAUUAAGGAUGAUGUAUUUCAUGCUGUGAAGAGAGAAGACAAGCUCUCACUUGGGCAGCAAACUUUAAACACGUGUUCCACACCAUGCUAGGACAAUUGCUUUACACUCAGUGUGGUGCAGGCAAGCCCAAAUGUUGGACACCCACGCGAA